rnacentral:rRNA from 1 species
CAGCAGCCGCGGUAAAACGUAGGGUGCGAGCGUUGUCCGGAAUUACUGGGCGUAAAGAGCUCGUAGGUGGUUUGUCGCGUCGUCUGUGAAAUUCCGGGGCUUAACUCCGGGCGUGCAGGCGAUACGGGCAUAACUUGAGUGCUGUAGGGGAGACUGGAAUUCCUGGUGUAGCGGUGAAAUGCGCAGAUAUCAGGAGGAACACCGAUGGCGAAGGCAGGUCUCUGGGCAGUAACUGACGCUGAGGAGCGAAAGCAUGGGUAGCGAACAGGAUUAGAUACCCCCGUAGUCCCUGUCUCUUAUA